rnacentral:lncRNA from 1 species
CUUUGGAGAAGAAAAUGCCUGCUCUUCAGCUGGAGCGCACAGGUGCUCCCAGCCAGAUCUUGGACUCUGAACCUGGAGCAAUUUUUGACUAUAUGCUUCUCUAAACUUAGAAAAUAUCUGCAAUAAAUAGGUCCCAAGACGUUUAACAGAAACUGGAGAAGGACCGUUAUCUCCAUUUUAUGAACAGAGUCAGGUACUUGCUGAGAUCACUUCAUAAAUGACAAUCCUGCUAAUGUGUGUCCAUUAGAGGAUACUGUGUCUAAUGGUGCUUUCAAGGUGUUUGCAGAUGAUCCCCG